GAGGGCCCCCCUGUCUUAAGAGGACUCUCCAUGAAAUUGAAUUCGUAGUGAAGAUGCUACGUCCAUAUUGUAAGACGAAAAGUCCCCAUUGAGCUUUACUAAAGACUUAUAUGGCUCGAAUAACUUAAAUAAAAAGUUUAGAUAAUGUGGGAUCCGUUUUUGGUUAAUGAGACACCACUCUUUUAUUUUAAGAGAACUAACCUUAUAGGGAGAAUGUAAGUUAGAUAGUUUGGUUGGGGCGACCACCUUUUAAAAGGUAACGAAGGUGAGCUUAAGGUCCGUAGUUAAUAGCUAGAGGCCUGACUGCAAGGGGGACAUCCCGAGCAGACACAUCCUUAAGGAUGUGGGUUAUAGUGACCCGUCAUCUUAGAGUGGAAUAGUUGACGAUCAACGAAUAAAAGCUACCAUGGGGA
rnacentral:rRNA from 1 species